GUGUGAAAAAAUAUAAUCCAUCUUGGGAUUCACCCUUGCCAAUCACUUUCCCUGAUUUGUUUUCCUGAAAUUGGAAACAAUGAUCAUUAAAUAUGACUUUAAUGUCAUUGUCUAAUGUUAACUUACUAAUGGCUAUUAGGUUAACUUUGAAUUCAGGAAUAUAUAAAACAUUUUUAAGAACUAAGUUUUCUGAAAUUUUUAUGCAACCCACCCCUUUAACUACUAGUGUCUUCCCACUAGGUAUUGUUACAAAAUGAUUAGGUUCUUUAACAGGUGGGUUAAUAAACAAAUAUAUAUUUCCAGUCAUGUGCUGUGAUGCACCUGUAUCUACUAUCCAUUUGUCUAUAUAAUUAUUCAUGUUAUUAGAAAUGUUAUCUAUAUUAAAAGAAAAAUGAAAAAUUUUACCAUUGUUUGACUUAGUUGAGGAAAUGAGCUCCUUGAAUAGCUGGAUCUCUUCCUGAGUCAAUGUUAGUUGCUGAUUGUUGGAAGUAGUAACUUGAUUUGCAGCUUCUAUGUUAUUUAUAUUGCUGCCCUGGGGUUUUUUUCCUUGGGGUUUUUUCUGAAAUUUAUCUUUUGGUUUUCCAACCAAGUGAUAGCAUUUCUCUCUUGUGUGACCGUAGUACUUACAAUUGUCACA
rnacentral:lncRNA from 1 species